rnacentral:rRNA from 1 species
CCUUCCAGACUCCUACGGGAGGCAGCAGUAGGGAAUCUUCGGCAAUGGACGAAAGUCUGACCGAGCAACGCCGCGUGAGUGAAGAAGGUUUUCGGAUCGUAAAACUCUGUUGGUAGAGAAGAACGUUGGUGAGAGUGGAAAGCUCAUCAAGUGACGGUAACUACCCAGAAAGGGACGGCUAACUACGUGCCAGCAGCCGCGGUAAUACGUAGGUCCCGAGCGUUGUCCGGAUUUAUUGGGCGUAAAGCGAGCGCAGGUGGUUUAUUAAGUCUGGUGUAAAAGGCAGUGGCUCAACCAUUGUAUGCAUUGGAAACUGGUAGACUUGAGUGCAGGAGAGGAGAGUGGAAUUCCAUGUGUAGCGGUGAAAUGCGUAGAUAUAUGGAGGAACACCGGUGGCGAAAGCGGCUCUCUGGCCUGUAACUGACACUGAGGCUCGAAAGCGUGGGGAGCAAACAGGAUUAGAUACCCUGGUAGUCCACGCCGUAAACGAUGAGUGCUAGAUGUAGGGAGCUAUAAGUUCUCUGUAUCGCAGCUAACGCAAUAAGCACUCCGCCUGGGGAGUACGACCGCAAGGUUGAAACUCAAAGGAAUUGACGGGGGCCCGCACAAG